CCACGGUGUGAUUCAUGACUGGGGUGAAGUCGUAACAAGGUAACCCUAGGGGAACCUGGGGUUGGAUCACCUCCUUACCUUAA
rnacentral:rRNA from 7 species